rnacentral:rRNA from 1 species
UACGGAGGGUGCGAGCGUUGUCCGGAAUCACUGGGCGUAAAGGGCGCGUAGGCGGCCUGAUAAGUAGGGGGUGAAAUCCUGCGGCUUAACCGCAGGGCUGCCUUCUAAACUGUCGGGCUAGAGCACGGUAGAGGCAGAUGGAAUUCCCGGUGUAGCGGUGGAAUGCGUAGAGAUCGGGAAGAACAUCAGUGGCGAAGGCGGUCUGCUGGGCCGUGGCUGACGCUGAGGCGCGACAGCGUGGGGAGCAAACAGG